CCCCGGUCCCCCAUCCCACAUCUGUCCGGGAUCACCUCCUCUAAUUACCAACGAAUUUUUUGACGGCAUGAACAUCAAACUGUCAGACGCUGUCUGUUGGCACCGCCUUGCAGCGUGAGUCACUGCCGAGGUGCAGAGGCGAAAAACAAGCGCGUCUCUGUGCUGAGCUGCAGGUCCCGUCGGGGAGCAUCACCUGUCUGCGACGUUCGGUUAUGCUGUCAGAUUUGUGAGUUUUUCUUCUAUGACAUUACGAAGCAGAACAGGUAUGACCUCACACUGCCCGUGUAUUCCUGAUCACAGAACAGAAUAUCAAAGGAGCAGUCAGGCAAGAAUAGACGCCAUGACACUGUGCAGACCAGCGUCAACCUGUUUGUUCCUGUCACGGUGUGGGUUCGUUUCCUGUUUUAUUUUGUAGUUUCCUGCCUCUCGUGUCCCUGGUUAACUUCACUUCCUGCCCUGCUGUGUUUUCUUCGACAUUUCGGGAACCAAGAGCGUUAGAGCGGAACCUUUUACAGACGCCAAGUACAGUCAUUCAGUGGUUCCUGCUUCCUUCACAAGACAAGAGCACGAUCACGCACCAGAGACAACAAACGGCACUAAAGUGCACUGCAAUAAACCGAGCAGAGUAAAUGAGCACCAGUGUUUCUGGUCGCCGAUGUUGAAGUCAAGGCAGGAACAGAGGAGGAUCACAGUGAUUUUUACCAAAACGAUUGACAGGUCAUCAGUCAAACGGCCGUGUGACAACCAACUCUCCCUCUGUGUAAAAGACAAGGCGCUCAAUGUAGCGAGGAGGCCUCAAAUUCAAACUGCGACCUUUGCUGGUGAAGGUGGAAUGAUCUCGGGGGCGGACGGGCCUGCGGGCUGCGCCACCGACGGCUGAGGGGUCUGCGCCUGUCAAAGGUCGUCUUGUGGUCUUCAGCUGUGAUGGAUCGUUGGUUCCUCCCAACAGACGGAUCUUUCUGCGGCGGCAGCAGCAGCUCCGGCCUGCGGGGUCACAACAGGAAAGCCCCUGCAGGCUCUCAGUCACUCACGGCAUGCGGCUGGACGUUAUCUGUCUCUGGAUCUCCUCCUCCGCUUCCCCUCCAUUGAACACCGAGUUGCACGGCACGUCCAUUCCCAGCGCGUCCAAAGUCGAAACAGACCUGAUCUGGAAUAAUUCGGAAUGUUCGAUGCAGUUAAUGGACGUAAACUGUUGCCAAGUAAAACAAAAAUGUUCAGAGACGGGUUGAUAAGUUUUAGUCAUUCACUCACAAAGGAAUCAAAGUCUUUUACUUUGAACGCAGGUCACGCAGAUGUUGGAUUAACUCAUCUCCCUUUUUUCUCACAAUCAAGCUCCCCUCUUGCUUCCGUCUGUGCUCGCGUGAGGCUUCCUGGUGGAUGUUUGUAUUUGUCAACCCUCGGCUCAUUACCCGUGCAGGCAGCUGUUAGAGGGCGGCUCCUUCACUUGAGAUCUUCAUUGACAUCGAGCAUGUGCCGAUAACAGCCAGGUCGCCCUCCUCCACCGAUAAUAGACAAAAGGUACUCGCAGGCAUUUUCUGUUAUUAUAUAUAUAUAACAAUCGUAUUAGACUAUUGCCACAAGCGAAAAUAAAAUGGCUGUUUCAUGCACAUCACCAUGGAGGGCGAUUGCUCGUCGUCACACACAUCACAAGAGUCGUAUGAUAUCUAACUCAGUUGCUGCCCAUUUUUUAAUGCACUUUUCUCCCAAAACUGGAAAGGUGUCAAUAUGCGAUUUUAAAAGAUUACAUAAAACAUAAAAUGGUGUUUGCUUGAGUUGGGAAGCACUAAACUUCAACACAUGAGCUUCCUUAUUCUCCUUUUUGAUGUCAGUUGCCGGUCGGGAUCAGAAUCAUCACUCUCUCGACACAACAUGCAGCACAUGUUGUAGAGAUUCUUUCAAGCCAAGCUUUCCUUAUUACAAAUAAUUCAAAUCUGGUUUCAGACAUGCAUUAUAAAUGUUGCCUUUUCCCAUCUUUCCUUUACAAACCAAGCUAAAGAAUAAUUGAUUACACGGCACAAGCAAGGACACAUUCUUCCUCGUGUCUUGUGCUUUUUGCUGGUUGGAUCGGAGGGACCUUAGGCUAUCUCCUCUUAACAAAGGGAACUUGUUCCGUGAGAGGCACAAUUAAAGAGUGGGAGGCAGGAAGAUUACACACAAGCUUUAUGGGCACCUCCAAAAUGACUCAAGAGCCGACUAUUCAACAGCUGGUAAAAUGAUCCAUAGUCACGAAACACGCAGAGCCAAUCUUCUCCCUGUAACGCGCACGCUCCUCUUCCUCCUCCUGCCAGACGUUACCGCCACGGGGGUCACGCAAAGUCAAAGGGAGAUGGAAAGCGGUUCUGACGGCGGGGCCGAAGUGAACUAAGGCGUUCAGUCUGGCGGCUGUCGGAAGAGAUGAAGCCACAGCGGCCUUCCAACGUCAGCAACACAGCGCACAGUAGAUCAGUAAUAACUUUAACACAUGACGACGCACCACUUUCCAUCACGUACGCAACUUCAAAGGGGGGAAAUAUGGUAUUUAUUGAUGGGCCCAUAAUUCAGUCCUCCUCCAACGCCGGUCAAAUUUCAGUGGACGAGGCAGGGAGAAUGGGAACCAGAUGAUAUGAGGCCGGGGCCCCAAACCCGGGCUUUCAAUUUAGGCCGGCAGGUUGUCGGGUCGAAUCCUGAUGGGGGGAAGAGACCCCCCCCCUUCACCCCCCGGACCAUGGGGCAGAGAGAAAAACAACCUCUAGACCUGUCUGAUGUAUCCACACAUCACAUGAGCUCAAGAAAACCUUCCUCAUGUUCUGAGUAUUUUAAUUGUCAUACAACAUUGUUUUUGUUUUUCAUAACAUUUUCAGGUUUUAGGCUGAUUUUUGAUUACUCGUGUGAAUCGAAUACUAAAUAAUUACAUUUUCUCAUUUAAUUUUAUUAAAAUAAUAGUUAACAGGUAAGCUAUUGCUAUUAGCUAGAUAUCUAAAGUUAGUUUUUUGGCUUCA
ensembl:lncRNA